CUGGAUUUCCUGGACUUUGCAGAGAGAGUGCGGCUCUUCUGCUGGAUGGCCUUAAGGAGUCAGCAGGGACAUUCAGAAUAACCAGGCCCACUGCUUUGCCUCCAAACCAGUCACCAUGGUGAAUCUGAGGAACAGAUGACAGAGACAUACGACUUUAUGAACGGUUGACUCUGAGGAAGAAGCUGUGCAUCGAAACUUUAGUUGUUUGAACCAUUAAAGUCUGAAAAAGC